GGGAUUCGACCCCAACCGAUGUUGGGUUUAUUAUUGCUAAGGACCAUACUAUGCUUUCUUUAAAGGUGUAGGAUUGGACGUCAACAUCCCUCUGUCCCAUUUUAUGUGACACCCGUUCUCUUUUACUCUAUCCCCCAAAAAAAUGACAUCUUUUUAUAUUUAGAAACAAUUCAACUGUAAGCUUCUCAUUUUACCUUAAGUAGAUGAUUUAUAAUCGCACAAAUAUCUAUGGCUUGUUUUAGAACUCAAGUUUCAAAAUUUUCUCUUUCUUCUUAAACUCCAAGCUAAGUCAAACAUUAUUACGUAAAAGGGGAUCCCGAAGUAUACUGUACAAGAAGGCAGAGCCGUAAAUCAGAAGAGCAACUCACAAGAUGCACUGGCUGAUAAAUGAACAUCAGCAUGAAAAUGAAUGGUGAUGUCUUUUCUCUUGGUAUUGUCUUACAUUUUGUUGUCAUUUUGUAUAAGCACAGGGAAAAAGAAGUCUGACUCAAAAGGAGAAAAAAGAAAUGUUAAUAAUCUAUUGGUCCCGAUAAUAACAGAUUUUUUAGACGGGGAGUUGAUUUAACUGUACCCUUAGAAAUGGUUUUGCAUUGUCAAGAAAUUCAGAGCAGUGUUCUUCACAGGAAUUUCAUCGAACAACACGGCGGCUCUAGGUAAACAAUGACUUGGCACGCAAAUCAACCAAAACAGAGAACACAUACACGCUUAAAACAAACCAGAAUAUUCAUGUAAAAGGGCGUGAACCACUUGGCCCAAAGUCCACAUUUAGAACACCAUUUGAAUGCACGGAAGAGAAGUGAUGGAGAGCAAGAGCAUGGAACUUAGUUUGGCAAAAAUGGUUUUAGAAAGCAAAGGUUAGGGGUAAGGCCUCGUCUGCAUAUAAUCCUCCUCACACAUCUUCACUUUGUGGGACUAUAUUGGAUAGUUAUUGUUGUAGCUGUUGUUAAAGCAAAGGUUAGGGGAGUUCAAAAAGAAAUAAGUUAAAAAAUUUAAUGAGAUUGUAGCUAGUGGGAAUUAAACCAACGAUUUUGAACCCCCUUAACCACUAAGUCAUGCAUUUGAGCUAUGUGAAGGGGAUUUAAAACAUAAUAUAUAGAAGUAAAAAUCAAAUUUUAUCUUAUAUAUAAAAUAUAAUAUUUUGUCUGUGAACACCUAGUGAUAUCCCAACUCACCGAUCCAACUAAUCCAGAUUUGAGUCAUACCUGGUUAAGGAUAAAGGAUCUCGUUAAUCCCACCAAACUUUGUAUGGUUGCAUUUGCAAAGAAUAAAAAGACCCACCCAUGUGGAUUUAACUCAUAUACAUAAAAACAGGCGUUAAAAUUCAUUUUAAACUACGGUUAAGGGUCAAAUAUAUUCUUGUUCUAUUAAAAAAAAGUCAUAUUUAUCCCCCGUUUAAAUUUUUUAUCAAAUAUGUCCCCACCGUUAUACAUUAGGGCCAUAUAUAUCCCUCAACCGUUAAAACAGCCUUCCAUAUUUUUUAAUAGCACGUGGCAUCUUAUGAUUGGACCAGACAACCUGCCCCAUUCCUUUAAUUAAACCCGCCCCAACCCAACGUAUUAAACACUGUGACCCAGCGUUAUAGCCCCAUGUAUCAAACCCGCCCCAUAUACCUAGUUUAAUAUUUUUUCCCCUUCAAUCUAACGGAAACUCAGACCCAAUUUCACUCAAAAUUAAAAAACUUGCCACAGGCGGUCAUAUUCAUCAUCCCCAAAUAGAACUCUAUAUCCCAAUAAAAAAUCAGAGAAAUUGAUUUUUCAUUUUCUCAAAUGCAUAAUUGUUGCUCUUGUUCUUCCUCUUUAUUUGUUUUCUCCUAUUCCUCGAAUCCCAAUAAAAUAUCAGAGAAAUUGAUUUUUCAUUUUCUCAAAUGCAUAAUUGUUGCUCUUGUUCUUCCUCUUUUAUUUGUUUUCUCCUAUUCCUCGGCUUGACCGCCCCUUGUUCCUCUCCAUUCUCUCGUCACCUCCACUGUUCACGUUGUCGAACUGUUGGUCAAGCCACAGAAAUUUUAAAUCAGAACCUCCAAAUGGGAAGAUCCAAUUAAAUUCUACCUAAAAGUUAUCGAUCAAAAAUGAAUUUGUGCAAAUUGAAAUACAUUCAUGAGUCUUCAAUUAAGGUAACUGAAAACAAAACAAAAACUGAUCUCGACUCUUACCCAUUUAGAUAAUUGAAGAUCAAUUAGCUCUUGGUAGCUUGUGGCUACCUGCUGCCUGCUGUUAGUUUGAGUUUGGUUUUGGCAUCAUGGAGUAUCACUUGUUUUGAGUGAUAGAAUACAGAGAAAAAGAGAGAUAGAGAUUUUUUAUUAAUUACCAAGUACAACCAUUAUGUGCAGAGAGAAAAGGGGAAGGCGUGGAAGAUGGGAAGGAAAAGAUCAACCCAUUUGGAAAAUAGCAAAGGACGAGUGGGGGUCAUAGUGUUUAACACGCUAGGUCGGGGCGGGUUUAAUAAAGGAAUGAGACGGGUCGUCUGGUCCAAUCAUAAGAUGUUACGUGCUACUAAAAAAUAUGGAAGAGUGUUUUAACGGCUGAGGUAUAUAUAUGGCCCUAAUGUAUAACGGUGAGGACAUAUUUGAUAAAAAAUUCAAAG
rnacentral:lncRNA from 1 species